rnacentral:snRNA from 1 species
GGAUGUGAGGGCAAUCUGGCUGCGACAUCUAUCAUCCCACUGAUCGCCAGGAUUGAUUCGGCUGAUCUGGCUGACUAGGCCCGGUGUCCCCUUCCUUACCGCUCCAUGUGCGUCCCUCCCGAAGCUGCGCGCUGGGUGGAAGAGGACGACCUGAUAGAGGAGAGGACCGUUCUUCAGUCAGGGGUAUACAAGUAGCUGCGCUCCCCUGCUAGAACCUCCAAACAAGCUCUCGAGGUCCAUUUGUAGGAGAACUUAGGUUAGUCAAGCUUCCAAGACUCCAGAUACAUUCAAAUGAGGCACUGCAUGUAGCAGCCUGCCUUUCUGU